UACGGAGGGGGCUAGCGUUGUUCGGAAUUACUGGGCGUAAAGCGCGCGUAGGCGGCUUUGUAAGUUAGAGGUGAAAGCCCGGAGCUCAACUCCGGAACUGCCUUUAAAACUGCAUCGCUUGAAUCCAGGAGAGGUGAGUGGAAUUCCGAGUGUAGAGGUGAAAUUCGUAGAUAUUCGGAAGAACACCAGUGGCGAAGGCGGCUCACUGGACUGGUAUUGACGCUGAGGUGCGAAAGCGUGGGGGGCAAACAGG
rnacentral:rRNA from 1 species